UUGACCUCGGAUCAGGUAGGAAURCCCGCUGAACUUAAGCAUAUCAAUAAGCGGAGGA
rnacentral:rRNA from 1 species